AUAAUGAGUGCCUUCAUCAGUCCUUAGAAAACGAGCACUCAGAUCUGAUUCCUAAAACUACCAUCACAUAGAAACAUCCUGUUCUUGAGCAAAAGCAGACAGAACAUAGAAAUUCCAAAACUCCUUCAACAGGUAACAUCAUCUACCUACCUAGAUACCCACAGCCAAGGUGCAGAGACCACUCUGAGGGUAUUUGAAGGUACUUGAACACAUUUCAUCACUCAGGCAAGUCUGGGAAUACAGUAUCUUUGGCAUCCUCACAGAACUCAAAUGACUGGAAAGAAGUACUGACAAGUAUGCCUGCAGAUUUAAGCAGGGAAGCAGAAAUCUUAACUUGGAUCCUCUUCAAUAGAGAUAAGGAACCUAAAGCAGUUGAACAGCUGAAGCUUUCCUGUGCCCAAUGGGAAAGGAAGCUGUAAAUUCUGGGAACUGGGACUCAGCUCCCACACAGCUGUAGGUGAGGUUGGGACCUCUUGGUGCCCAGUGCCAGCAGAGAGGAGAAACCACUCAAAAAGCAGUCCAAAAAGUCAGGGUUUAGCAUCAUUGUACAGCUGAAACCAGAACCUAUGUCAGGAAGUGUCCACAUCUACAUAGCAGUGGAAUUACUGAUUCAAAUAAUUAGAUGGAAUCAGAUUUACAAAUAACAAAUGAAGGUUUAAAAUAAUGUCAUAAGGGGGUUUAUGUCCUUAAUAUAACUAAAAUAUGCGCCUUUAAGUAAGUGACAAAACAAGACAGACAAAGAAAAUGGCAAAAUCCUGAACUACCGUUCACGUUACUUUCUCCAGUCUUUCCAUAAAUACCCCUAAUCAAGUAUAUCAAAGUCACAUGAACUUCACCAAUCUCCCUUUGGUACAAGAAGUAACAGACCUUUCAAAGCAAGCAGAAACCAGACUUUCAAGUGCAUUAAAUACACGUGCAGAGGACACG